UUUACUUUCUCCUUAUUCUUUGUUGACUCAUAUAAAGUCUGACUAUUUUAUUUACUUUAACCGAUAUUUGCUCCUUGUGGUAGAUUAUAUUUUGAAUUGCGUGCAAGAUUGAGUGACUUUGGAGCAAGCUGUCAAACUGCCCGUGAGUUCCUGUGUUGACGAAAUUAGACCGAGCUGUCAAAAGGUACCGCAGAAGAGUAAACAAUGCGAACGAAUUUACAAAAUCUCUGCACAAAAAUAGACGAUUGCAGUAAAAGUGAAAACUUCGGGAUUUAUCAAGAAAAAGAAUGGCGUUAAAACCGCUAAAAUACGCCGUUGAUGCUUGUCGACGUGUGACGCUUUGGAGUCCCUAGUGAACGAUAAAUCCGGACAAUAUAAGCUUCAGAAACUCCGCGAUUGUACAGGUUUACAGGUUGCAUCGUUUUUGUGUUCGAUGUGCGAAUCGCGUUUGGAUAAGAUGUAUACGUUUCGCUGGCGAUGCAACAAAAACAUUGCACUGGUCAAUGGAUUUAACGAAAAGCAAAACACUGCGAAGAACUAGGCAGACAUUGGCAAAGACCAUCUUGACCACUCUGCUGAGCAAACGGUUGGCACAAAUUUGUUAAUCAAAACUGAAGUCACCAUACCGGAUGCAGUGCACGAUUCGCACUUGAACUGUACAGCUCAUCAAGUAAAUGGGACAUAUGAGUGUUGUGGCAACCAACCUGACGAUUUUUUCGAGGAAGUGGAAAUCCAAUUUCGUUCAAAUUAGAGGAUGAAAAUGUCGAUGAACAGGAUAACAGUCAAACAAAGCCUUCAGAAUUGAUGUUUCACGAUCGAGAAGAUCCCUCUGCGACAAGCAACACGUGUAUUAAUGCCUCGCAUAAGGCCUGUUGUGAGUAACAUCUGUUCCAAAGCGUUCAAAUCACGAAGCAAUCUGCUACAUUAUUCGAAAAUCCACAAGAAGGAAGAAUACCAACAGUGUCCGCAUUGUCCUUCAAAGCUUGCGCUUUCGUCAGCGUUGAAGGGACACAUUCGCAUUCAUACCGGUGAAAAUCUGUAAGAAAGCGUAAUAUUCAUUAUCUGCGCUAUCAUAUCAUUCGAAAAUUCACAACAUGUGCUAAUUGCAUUUAUCCUAAGCAUGUAUUCUUCUAAUAUUAAAAGCGUUCGAUUGAAG